GUCCUUUAGAAUUUAAUUUAAGGUCUAGCCUGCCCACUGAAAUUAAUUUUAAAUGGCCGCAGUAAUUUGACUGUGCAAAGGUAGCAUAAUCAUUAGUUUUUUAAUUGAAAGCUUGUAUGAAAGGUUGGACGAGGUAAAAUCUGUCUCUAAUUAAUUUAAUUUAGAAUUUAACUUUUAAGUCAAAAGGCUUAAAUAUAAUUAAAAGACGAGAAGACCCUAUAGAUCUUUAUAAUUUAUUUAUUAAAUUUAAUUAAGAAUUUUUUAAAUUUUAUUAAUUUAAUUAUUUUAUUGGGGUAAUAUAAAGAUUAAAUUAAUUCUUUUUUUUUAUUAACAUUAAUUUAUGAUUUUAUGAUCCAAUUUUAUUGGUUAUAAGAUUAAGUUACCUUAGGGAUAACAGCGUUAUUUUUUUAGAGAGUUCUUAUCGAUAAAAAAGUUUACGACCUCGAUGUUGGAUUAAAGAUUAUUUCAGGUGUAGAAGUUUGAAAAUUUUGGUCUGUUCGACCAUUAAAUCUUUACAUGAUCUGAGUUCAGACCGGUGUAAGCCAGGUCGGUUUCUAUCUUUAGUAAAUUAAAAUAUUUUAGUACGAAAGGACCAAUUAUUUAAUAUAAAAUAUUUAAAUUUUGAUUAUUAUUAA
rnacentral:rRNA from 1 species